rnacentral:tRNA from 1 species
GGGGUGGUGGCUUGGUGGUAGAAUAUCAACUUGGCACGCAGAAAGUCCCAGGUUCAUUCCCUGGCAUCUCCA